AUGAACGCUGGCGGCGUGCCUAAUACAUGCAAGUUGAGCGAACGGACGAGAAGCUUGCUUCUCUGAUGUUAGCGGCGGACGGGUGAGUAACACGUGGAUAACCUACCUAUAAGACUGGGAUAACUUCGGGAAACCGGAGCUAAUACCGGAUGAUAUUUUGAACCGCAUGGUUCAAAAGUGAAAGACGGUCUUGCUGUCACUUAUAGAUGGAUCCGCGCUGCAUUAGCUAGUUGGUAAGGUAACGGCUUACCAAGGCAACGAUGCAUAGCCGACCUGAGAGGGUGAUCGGCCACACUGGAACUGAGACACGGUCCAGACUCCUACGGGAGGCAGCAGUAGGGAAUCUUCCGCAAUGGGCGAAAGCCUGACGGAGCAACGCCGCGUGAGUGAUGAAGGUCUUCGGAUCGUAAAACUCUGUUAUUAGGGAAGAACAUAUGUGUAAGUAACUGUGCACAUCUUGACGGUACCUAAUCAGAAAGCCACGGCUAACUACGUG
rnacentral:rRNA from 1 species